rnacentral:rRNA from 1 species
AUUGAACGCUGGCGGCAGGCCUAACACAUGCAAGUCGAGCGGUAGAGAGAAGCUUGCUUCUCUUGAGAGCGGCGGACGGGUGAGUAAUGCCUAGGAAUCUGCCUGGUAGUGGGGGAUAACGUUCGGAAACGGACGCUAAUACCGCAUACGUCCUACGGGAGAAAGCAGGGGACCUUCGGGCCUUGCGCUAUCAGAUGAGCCUAGGUCGGAUUAGCUAGUUGGUGGGGUAAUGGCUCACCAAGGCGACGAUCCGUAACUGGUCUGAGAGGAUGAUCAGUCACACUGGAGCUGAGACACGGUCCAGACUCCUACGGGAGGCAGCAGUGGGGAAUAUUGGACAAUGGGCGAAAGCCUGAUCCAGCCAUGCCGCGUGUGUGAAGAAGGUCUUCGGAUUGUAAAGCACUUUAAGUUGGGAGGAAGGGCAGUAAAUUAAUACUUUGCUGUUUUGACGUUACCGACAGAAUAAGCACCGGCUAACUCUGUG